UGGUUUAGUGUUUUAUAGAGCAUCCUAAUUUUUCGUGUUAGGGGAGGCCGUUGGGUCAACCAG
rnacentral:tRNA from 1 species